rnacentral:rRNA from 1 species
UACGGGAGGCAGCCAGUGGGGAAUAUUGGACUAAUGGGCGAAAGCCUGAUCCAGCCAUGCCGCGUGUGUGAAGAAGGUCUUCGGAUUGUAAAGCACUUUAAGUUGGGAGGAAGGGCAGUAAGUUAAUACCUUGCCUGUUUU